CCUACGGGAGGCAGCAGUGGGGAAUAUUGCACAAUGGGGGGAACCCUGAUGCAGCGACGCCGCGUGGGUGAAGGAGUAUUUCGGUAUGUAAAGCCCUAUCAGCAGGGAAGAACAAUGACGGUACCUGACUAAGAAGCACCGGCUAAAUACGUGCCAGCAGCCGCGGUAAUACGUAUGGUGCAAGCGUUAUCCGGAUUUACUGGGUGUAAAGGGAGCGCAGGCGGCGCGUUAAGCCUGGUGGGAAAGUCCGCGGCCCAACCGCGGGACUGCAUUGGGAACUGGCGCGCUGGAGUGCCGGAGGGGUAGGCGGAAUGCCUAGUGUAGCGGUGAAAUGCGUAGAUAUUAGGAGGAACACCAGUGGCGAAGGCGGCCUACUGGACGGUGACUGACGCUGAGGCUCGAAAGCGUGGGGAGCAAACAGGAUUAGAUACCCCAGUAGUC
rnacentral:rRNA from 1 species